GCGAUAUUUAUGGGCCUGUAGUUAUGCAAGUUUGUCCUGUCACGAAUUCUGUAUAGCUAGUAGCCAAGUAGGUAGCGUC
rnacentral:precursor_RNA from 1 species